ensembl:lncRNA
CCAGGAGAGGCCAGGAGAGGCCAGGCCAGGCAACACAAGGCAAGGCAAGGCAAGGCAAGGCCAGGAGAGGCCAGGCCAGGCAACACAAGGCAAGGCAAGGCAAGGCAAGGCCAGGCAAGUCAUGGCGAUGCCUGGCAAUGCCAGGCCAGGCAAGGCCAGGACAGGCAAGGCAAGGCCAGGCAAGGCAAGGCACAGCCAUGCAAUGCAAGGCAAGUCAAGUCAAGUCCAGGCAAGACCAGGCAUAGUAUGGCAAGGCAAGGCAAAGCCAGUCAAGGCCAGGAAAGGCAAAGCAAGGCAAGGCAGGCAAUGUGAGGAAUGACAAGGUAAGGCCAGGCAGGGCAAGGCAAGGCCAGGCCAGGCAAGGCUAGGAAAGGCAAAGCCAGGCAAGGCAAGGAAAUUCAAGGCCAGGCAAGGCAAGGCAAGGCCAGGCCUGGCACGACAAGGCAAGGCAAGGACUGUUGCGGACCCCCAAGGGUUGUAAACCGGAAUCUAGUCCGUUCGCUGGCUGAGCUGCAUGGGGAGUGAUGUCAUGACCCAAUAUGAGUGCAUCAGAGUCUCCGUUUAUUAUCCGUUACUUACACAUGUAUAUAGAUCGUGACGAACGUGCGUCAGCGUGUAAUUGGUUGAAGCAUAGUGAAAAGCCCCCUGCCUAAGAAUACUAUUGGUCAUGCAUGUUUUCAUACCAUUCCAAUGUCUUAAUCCCUUCCCAGGCUAGCUACCCCCUUAUCUUAACUGAAGCCUCAGUUUGUCUACCUGCUUUGACAGCUUCAAGGUCUCAUAGCCUGGGUUGUGCACAUAGCACCCGAGCUCACAGCCGUUAUAACGAGCUAGUACUUUUCCAUCUGUAUCUCCUGCCAAUUGUUAGGCCUGUUCUGCUCAUACAACUGUUCAAGAGACUCAUGACCCCCUCAGCUGUGGAGCCAUCCCUCAACAACUCCCCCCUUUUUCUUUUUGUACGAGCAUGACACCUUGUGUGAGCCUUUUCACACCGCGCAUUAUGCAACUAUAAGCAAUACGAAGUACAAUUAGAAGAGUAGUAAUAGUCAGUAGCCAGCUUAAGGCUUUCGUAACAAGCCCAAGUAGCCAUGACGAUAGGCCGCCAAAUAGAUUGCCUAGCCAGUCAUCAAGCAGAUUCUUAUUUGUAUGCACCUUUUGAGUAUUCUCCUUCAGCCAUUGCAAUUGUUUAUGUACAGAAUCACUGUGGUCUGAUAAGUUAAAACAGCACAUCAAUCACUAUCUAUAAGAAUACACUAGAUUUAUGUUACACAUUUCUACAAAGCAUUCCUUGUCAGUAAACUAACAGUAAAGACUACACAGCACACCAGUAUUAACUACAGUUUCAGUAUCCCGAUGAAUAAAAUACCACAGUCCCCACUCUGGAUCAAUCACUGUACCCGACCCAUACAAUUAGUGCGCUUCUAAUUCUCG